rnacentral:rRNA from 1 species
UCGGCUCAGAUUGAACGCUGGCGGCAGGCCUAACACAUGCAAGUCGAGCGGAUGACGGGAGCUUGCUCCUUGAUUCAGCGGCGGACGGGUGAGUAAUGCCUAGGAAUCUGCCUGGUAGUGGGGGACAACGUUUCGAAAGGAACGCUAAUACCGCAUACGUCCUACGGGAGAAAGCAGGGGACCUUCGGGCCUUGCGCUAUCAGAUGAGCCUAGGUCGGAUUAGCUAGUUGGUGGGGUAAUGGCUCACCAAGGCGACGAUCCGUAACUGGUCUGAGAGGAUGAUCAGUCACACUGGAACUGAGACACGGUCCAGACUCUUACGGGAGGCAGCAGUGGGGAAUAUUGGACAAUGGGCGAAAGCCUGAUCCAGCCAUGCCGCGUGUGUGAAGAAGGUCUUCGGAUUGUAAAGCACUUUAAG